rnacentral:rRNA from 1 species
UACGUAGGCAGCGAGCGUUGUUCGGAGUUACUGGGCGUAAAGGGUGCGUAGGCGGUUGUUUAAGUUUGGUGUGAAAUCUCCCGGCUCAACUGGGAGGGUGCGCCGAAUACUGAAUGACUAGAGUGUGGGAGAGGAUAGUGGAAUUCCUGGUGUAGCGGGGAAAUGCGUAGAUAUCAGGAGGAACACCGGUGGUGUAGACGGCUAUCUGGACCGUAACUGACGCUGAGGCACGAAAGCGUGGGUAGCAAACAGG